rnacentral:misc_RNA from 1 species
UACCAAAUCAAAAUGUAACUAUGAGCAAGUAGCCAAGCAUGAAAAAUAACACGAAUGCAACCCCAGAAAAGGUGGCUAAUCAAGUACAGUUUUUUUUUUUUUUCCCUUGAGGCUAGUUACUAUUACUUUGUCAGAAUAUUAUAGGCCAUAGCAUCCCAUAUUGGAAAUCUAGGGAUGUAUAAUAUUGUUCUCGAUAUUCCACUUGAGGCUCCAGUGGGGAAGUUCACAUUUAUAAGCCCAAUAUGCCCAUCCAAAAGAGGCUCGCCCAUAAACUUCCUGUUGAGCUUUAGCAAACUUUUGGUAAUCUUCCGUUGAUUCUUCCUUUACAUUCCAUUCUGCAGUCCAUUCCCCGACAAAACUGAG